GUAACAUGAUGAUCUCAUGCGUGUCAACUGAGCCUUUCCAGCAUCUAUCUUUGAUUUCUAUCUCCGGUGUUUUACCGUUGAUGGAACCUUGAUAUUCUUGCUUGGAUUUGGUGCAGGAUCUAAAACUUUGAUCUGAUUAC